rnacentral:rRNA from 1 species
UACGGGGGGGGCAAGCGUUGUUCGGAAUCACUGGGCUUAAAGGGCGCGUAGGCGGUCCGCCAAGUCAGGGGUGAAAUCCUGCAGCUUAACUGUAGAAGUGCCUCUGAUACUGGCGGUCUUGAGGGAAAUAGGGGUGUGCGGAACUUCCAGUGGAGCGGUGAAAUGCGUUGAUAUUGGAAGGAACGCCGGAGGCGAAAGCGGCGCACUGGAUUUCUUCUGACGCUGAGGCGCGAAAGCUAGGGGAGCAAACGGG